UACGGGGGGGGCAAGCGUUGUUCGGAAUUACUGGGCGUAAAGGGCGCGUAGGCGGCCUGCUAAGUCGGACGUGAAAUCCCCCGGCUCAACCGGGGAACUGCGUCCGAUACUGGUGGGCUCGAAUCCGGGAGAGGGAUGUGGAAUUCCAGGUGUAGCGGUGAAAUGCGUAGAUAUCUGGAGGAACACCGGUGGCGAAGGCGGCAUCCUGGACCGGUAUUGACGCUGAGGCGCGAAAGCCAGGGGAGCAAACGGGG
rnacentral:rRNA from 1 species